UUUUCUUUUGAUAGAAUGUCAAACUUACGAAAAAAGUUACAAGAAGAGAACAAAGAGCUAUUAGAGGGUGUUGCUGACACAAUGCUUUAUCACUCUUGAAUAUUUUCGUGUGUAAUUCCUACAAAUAAGGACAUUCUCCCACAUAGCCACAAUACAACCAUCAAAAUCAGGAAGUUAACGCUGAUGUGUUUCUACCAUGUAAUCCUCAGAUCCAAUUCAAGUGUCACCAGCUGUCCCAAUAAUGUCUUUUAUAACAAAAACAUUCAGUCUAAGAUCACUCAUUCUAUUUAGUUAUCUUGUCUAUUCUUCAAUUUGGAAGUGUUCUUUGUUCUUUCCUGAAUGUUCAUGACCUUGACAUCUUAGAAGAUUAAAGGUUAUUUAAAGUUGUUGAGUUAAAUAUCCAUUAAAUUAGGUUUGUCAGAUAUUUCCUCGAAAUUAGAUUCAGCUUAUGCAUUUUUUGGAAGGAAUACCACAGAAGUGAUGUUGUUUUCUUUCUGUUGCAUCCAAUCAGAUGAUACAGGAUUUUGAUUUGUUCCAUUACUGUUGACAUGAAUUUUGAACAUUUGAUAAUGCCAGUAUCAGCCAGAUUUUUCCAUUGUAAAGUCAUUCCUUUGUCCUUUGUAUUUAAUAAGUAUGUUUAGGGACUUUGAGACUAUGUCAAUGUCCUGUUCUUCAUCAAAAUUCCACUCACUCAUUCUUAGUAUUCAUUGACGUUUACUGAUCGAACUAAUUAUUAUUAUGAUAGUUGCCAAAUGUUGGUUUUUCUAAUUCAAUCAUUUCUUUAGUGUUUAUUAGCAUUCUACUAUAAGGAAAAGCACUAUCUUCUCCCCAUUUAUUAAUUCACAUAUUUACAUCAGCUUGGAGUUAUUGAUUUCUAUUUUAUUAAAUAGUUUAUAAUUGAUUACCAUCCUUAUUUAUUUUAAUGCUCAAAUUGUCCCAAAUUAUGGCCAAAGAAAGCUCCUUCAAACUGGUUGCUAUGUCCUUUUGACAUGGCCCAUCAUUCUUUAAACACAUUUUACAUCUGGCACAAUAACGUGCUACAUACCCAUCUUGUAUUUUUCCUGCCCCAUCUUUGAAAUCAGCCAUUCUCAAGGGGUUCCUUCUUAAUCUGGCUGUUGUUGUGUUGGAACUCCUGGUACCAUCUUAGAACCUUAAGGAGACAAGCGAACCAAGCCAAUAAGCUUUCCAUGAUGCUGCUUAGAGUUAAACAGAGCCCAGGUACUAAGUUAUGUCAUGGAGACAGUGAACUAACCUCUGGACUGCUUGCUACAUGAGACAAUUGAUUUUCUUAUUUUCUAUGUAGGGUGGUACAUUUCCUCAUUUUGAGAUAUUUCUUCAACAUAUAGCUUUUCAUUAGUGGGGAUUUUGUCAAUUAUAACCAAAAACAAUGUGACGGAUACCCAAGAUGUUUCAUGUUGUAGCUUGGGUGAAUUACACAUUUCUGAAGCCAUUACACUUCCUAGUUUAUUUGGAUUUAAGUUGACAAAUAAAAAUUGCAUAUGUUUAUGGUCUAUAACAUGGUGUUUCGAUAUAUGUAUACAUCGUGGAAUGGCUAAAUCAAGCUAACAUAUCCAUUACCUCACAUAGUUAUUUUUUGUGGUGAGAACAUUUUAAAAAUAUUGUCUUAGCAAUUUUCAAUCAAGCCUGUCCCAUGGAGACACAAGCAAUAGUGACAUGAGCACUUGACUCGCUGGGUUAUCAGGCUUUGGCUCCAAAUGUUUGGCUUCAAAUAUGAAAAAGUUACAUGAAAGAUGAAACUAUGCAAUGGCAUGGCUGUUGGUCAUUCACAUCUCUCUCUGCCAAGAAUGGGGAUGACGCUGUUGAAGGAAGAAAUGUGUUUUCUCCUUUUUCUCAAGUGAUAUUUGCCUUAGGUCAGAUUCUACUAGUUUAAAGCAAAACGAUCUCCUGGUCUGAUUCCUUUGGGUCUCUAAUAAUGGAAACUGCAAGGAUCAGCAUAAAGUGUUCCUUUGUUCUGACGUUGGUAUAACAUUGCUUCUUGAAAAAUGAAAGUAUUUGGACAUACAGACAGAAGCAAUAUUAUUCAGGUCUUCCUUGUUGCAAGUGAGGGAAAUCCAAUUAAAACUGGUUUAAACCUAAAAAAAAAAAAAAGAAGAAAAGAAAAGAAAAAAUAUGAGAGGGGUUUUGCUUUCUGGAAUCUGCUUUCUAGUCAGAAAGUGCAGAAGAAGGGCUAGCUUCAGGAACAAUUGGAUGCAGUAGUUCAAAUCACAAGUUAAGUCUCUGCUUCUUUUCUCCAUCUCUCUUCUGUCUUCCUCCACACUGGCUUUAUUCUUAGGUAGGCUUACCCAGAUAGUCAUAAACACAGCCACCAGUGGCAGCUGGGCUCACUUUUGUCCUUGGAGCCAGUGAGCCCAUGAAAAAGGAGCUUCUCUUUCUGGAGCUUCCCAGGGGUAACUUUGAUCAGCCAACAAGGGUCAGUCCUAUGCUUAUCCCUUGACCAAUCUCUGUGCCCAGAGGGCAGGGUACUCUGAUUGGCAAUACCUUCAUCGUGGGCCAACCACUGUGGGGAAGGGGGAGGGAUUAGAAAAGACAGCCACACCCAAAUCUCAUGAAGCAGUCCCCUUUAUUUUAAAAAAGUCCCUGUGAGAGCAACAGGAGCAAAGCAUGGAGAAGAAGCAAUCUUGGAGAAGCUGGAAGAGAACUGACCCAAAGAAUCCAAGAGACUAAGACUGUGCAGGGUUGGGGAACGGAAGCUCACACAGGAGGCCUGGACAGAGCUGCAGCAGAGCCAGGAGAGAAGCCAAGUGGCACAGCUCAUCUUGAAGUAAUUAUAAUGCCACUAAAAUUCUCAUUUGUAUUAAUUUUUUUUAAUUACUGGCAAGAUAAGGCAAAUGUUUUUAAAGGCCUAAAUAAAAUGAUAUUCCCUGAA